AGGCUGAAGGCUGCUGCUGCAGUCUGGUGCCGUUCCCUCUGAUACGGCUGAAUUUUACUGUAUGUUCCUUAAGAAUCUUUUUCCCAUUAAGUUUUGUGCCAUCUUUUCCCUUCAGUUGCUGUCUUAAGGUCAAACCUUGCUAGCGUUCUUCAAGGAGAAGAGGUGCUGCUUGUAUGGGGAAGUCUCAGCGGUCACGUAACCUUUUCACCAAUUCCACCUUCCUGCUGAGUAGUCUCUGCUUUUGCAGUUGUUCUUGGGCAAAGUUCACAAAGGAGCUAUAAAAUGGUUUCCAGUUUCUUGCCCGUGCCUUCUUUCACAGUGAGUACAGGUUGAGCCACGGUUCCUCAUCUGGGUGUACAAACAACUUGCUGUGUGGUUUUCUGUUUAUUUAUCUGUUUUUGCUACAAUCCUCUUUGAAGAGGAUACACAGUAAUGUUUUGCUAGGAUCUGUCAAAACUGGGAUUGUGUAAUUACUGCCACACAUCUGGCUGGCUGUCCCAUGAAUGGCGACUCAGCCGCUGGGUCCAAAGCCAGGCGUCAUUGUCGGCCACGUGGACAGCUUAUGACUGCGAGUGCCUCUGAGCUGCUUGCAGGUUAACCAGUUUUGGGGAUUGCACCUCUUAAAUUUCUCUUUCCUUAUGCUCAUCUCCCUCUUUUCUUCAAAGAUGUGUAAUUCAUACAGCUGAAAUAGCAAGACUCCCUGCAAUGUGGAAGAGUUAUUAGGUGUAUUUUGUUAGUGUUCUUUUUUUUUUUCUUGUCUUACUGAUUUGUGAGGCCAUCGUGUUGAUACGUGCCUGACAGUUCUGUGCUUCAGUGUGUACCGUUGAAGCCUGUCUGUUUCCAUCGUGUUCAUCACUGAAUUUGGUUUUUGUGUUAAAUAGAAAACACAAAACUCUUUCAAGCAUCUCUUGGGACUCCUAGCAUUCUGCUGCAGAUCUUUCUAUAUGAUCUAAAAUUUCUUUCCUCGGAUCCAAUCUUCCUGUGAGUCUCUGGAUUUUCUGUAAUAGAGCACAGCACUUUUCUGCUGCAUUUGCUUCAUGCUAUGUCAUCCUACAGUCCCUGAGCGUUUUUCUCAAGUUCCCCACGUUUCUCUCAGAGAACUCUGCUUGAGCACGCUUGCUUCAGACUCUGCAGACCGUUUGCUUUCGGGUUAUAUCCGAGUUUUGUGUGGGUCUCCUCGAACUCAAUUUCAGUGCAACACCAUCCUUCUGACAUCACUUGGGCCCGUGGGUUCAGUUGUUCUGCUUUGAUAGCUUAUGUCUGAAUUAUUAAUUACUGCAUUAUUAUUACUCACUGCUGCUUUGUAAUUCUUAUAAGUCUCUCUUCUGCUUAGGAGCUGUAUAAAUUGUAGAGCUCUGCUUGUUCCGGUAUACCUAAAUUUCCCAAUUUAGGGGUGGUUCUGGGUAACUGCUGGUACCACAAGGACUUUCUAGUCACCCCCGGAGUGAAGAUGUCUUUGUGGAGAUCAGGAUCUUCUCAGUGUUAUCCCAAAGUUUUCCGUCCUUUUUUCUCAGCUGGCUGCUCUGGGUUCCUCUGGUCAUACCAGUGACUAUAACCAGGGGCUGUGUUGUCAGUUGGUGUGAUGCUGUGCUGCGCAAGCUAAACUGAGCUUCAACAUCAGCACAACUCCUCGGCAUCCAGUAUGUGCUUUUCCUUCUGGAAGUCCUUUUUGCCUCCGAUAUCCCCACAUCUACAUCCAGCCUGUUCUUACACAGAGAGGAUCAAUGGCCUACUUACGACCAGCUCAUUUCAGAAGAUGACUUGCUUUCAUGCUAUAAAUGGCUUGGAGUUGCCUAGCCAGGAAUCUAGUUCUCUGCAAAUGCAGCCCCAGGUCAUCACGGCGAGUCUGUAGGUUUUCUCCAGGAUGUGCUAAUAUGGAUUCCUUUUUGUUGAAAGCAACGUUGUGGGGUUUUAAUGAAAAUUAAUGAUGGUGGCAUCAUUUCCUCUGCAGGAUCUGCUGCUGUGGCACAAGCAAGAGGCCUGGUACACCCAAGCAAGACUUCUGUGCUAAUGAGGGUCCUGUCCUGCCUGCUGAGCCCAGUUUCCUUCUAAAGGCACCGUGCUACUGUGAUGUUCCUUUAGGAGGCUACAGCUAAUUUACCUUAUCCUUGCAGGCCUGAAGGGUGGGUCAUGUUAUUUUGGCAACCGUAUCAGGAUGUGAAAUUAAUCAAUGGGCUUCUACCACGAUUCCCUUAGAAAUCCUUGGGUUUUGGAAAUGCUGUGAGAAGCUGUGCUGUGAACGUCACGUUGUUGGUGUUGCAGUGGUGGAUGACUUCUGACACCCAGGGCAAGGGAGUGCAAGCAAGGAAGGCUCACUAGGGCUGUAACGUGAGAGCACUAUGUUAAUGUGGCUGUGACUGAAUCAGUACCGCAAGAAGAUUAAGAGAGAGUACUUCUGGUGUUUUAAAAGGGUAACAGGAGACCGAGGAGACUUUAAAGUCAUUAGCCUGACGUGGAGUCUGUGCAAUUUUAAUGGUAAGAGUUAAUUUGUGAUUCAGGGGAAGAAGAUUUAGCAGCUAAAUGCAUAUACUGAUGCAAGUAGAUUGGCCCUUUGGAAGGCAAGUGUAAACUGUGACAGGUUUGUCAAGAUUAUGGCCCAGCUGAUGGAAGCACAGUUGGUAGAAUUGUUUCUCCAAAGCUCUUGACUUUGUACCGCGGUUUAUUUGUUUUAUUUAAAGGGCUUGGAUUGCUAACAGAGGGCAUAGUAGCUAUACUGGAAAGCAGCUCGGGCAGAGAGACAGCUGGGGAUUGAUCCCCGGGCUGAAGGGUGUGUAAUUUGUGUAUCAGCCGUAGCAGAGCAGAGAUGGUUACUGCCGGUAAAACCGGGAGGAUGAGGUAGCAAGCAGGGCAAGUCAGCAGCCCGGGGCAGCUGGUGAAAUAGCCAAAAGUUCACCGGGAGCCAGGUGAGAUGCAGGGGAGAGCACCGAGCCCGCAGCCAUGGGAUGGGUGCCGGGCACGGCGUGGAGUCACGCUGCGUGGUCACCUCUGCCCGCGGGCACCAGCCCUGAAGGCUGCAGCCCACCUUGCUUCUCGCUGUCUCCCAGCAGUGUUGGUCAAACACUCAGCUUCAGAACUCCGCUGCUUUAAUGAUGGCAAUUAAACUUGAGCAGUGUGUGAAUAGCGAGAACUGGUGUUCCUUUGCUGGUUGGCCGGCCAAAACGUGUGCUUUGCCUUUCGCUUGUCGUGUGUUGCUUGUCUGUCCCGCACGGCACGUAAGAAGGGCAGCCAAGAUAUUCCUUCCUGCAGCAUCUGGAUGGUAGUAUUAAACUCAGGUUUGCAGCAGCUGAAAGUACAGCUUAAUUCUUCUUGCAGAAGAGAUUGCUGUCGAAUGAUACUCGAAAUGAGGUCGUGUGGAGUCUCAUCUCUCAUUGCUGGCAGUGGGCAGGAUAAAGGACUUCAUGUGGCGUAACUGGGGAAAAAAACCUGCUUGGAAGAAAACUUCUUUUGAGUGGGGUUUAAGCAAGCUGAGAGCAGAGAACAGCAAAUAUAUUUUCCCCAUCUAGAGGCUGAUUUGCCUUCCCCUUGCGGUAAAGCUUCCCCUGGGGUGACUGCUCCAAGACAACGAAGCUUCUGCAGAUGAGGGUGAUGUAACCGGAGUUUCAGUCAGGGCUUCCAGCUCGCAGCAUCCUUGCUUGGGGAGGAAAGCGUGUGCAAGGUGUUCAAGGUGCUCGAGUGCAUUUCUAGACUGCCUUGGCAUCCUCACGAAGGGAAGCCUGGCUCUGUUUUCUCCCCUACAGCAGUCCUAUCUCUCUCUUUGCGAUUGGUUUCAGAGCAGCUUUGGGAAGCAGGAGCAAAGCUGACAAGGUCAGUUUUGUGCUGCUGGAUAUAAAAUCUGCAAAUUGGCCACGGUCAUUGGAAAUACCCUGUUCUUUCCUUUGCAAACCCAGCAGAAACACGAUGAAUAAGCUUUUCUUUCAGGUUCUGAUAGCUUUGUGCUGUCCCUGUCAUAAAGCACUCUUCCCCCGUUCCUACCAGAGCAGGGAGCGCAUACACUUUAAGCUUUGCGGUGGAUUGAGUUCUAGUGCUGCAAAACGUUCAGUUUGCACUGGGUUUAAGUAGAAAUAUGCCAACACCCGCUUUUCACCUUCCUUGGGUGUGUUUCCUGGCUUGGCUCUUCAGAUCUCUGUAGUACUAGUGAAGGCUGUGGUGCUCGUUGUCAGCUUCAGUUUCCAAGCUUCGUCCUUGCGGAGUUUUUCCCUCCCCAAGGCGAUACCUACAGCUGGAAUCCUCGAACAAAGCGCAGAUGAAAGCAGGAAUGGAUUCAUCUCCCUGGCUGCAUGCAAAAUAACCUGCUGCUCAAGGAUUCCAAGGAAAAUUGGUUUCUGAUCUCUGCCAGCAAAGGCAGAGCUGCUUAAAUGGACAAACGUGAGGUGACCAUCUUUGUGCAUUUAGAAGGAAAUUGUAGACAAGUGAGAGUGCUGCCCGGAUGCUUUAAAAGAGAGCCAGAGCCACCGAGCAUGCCAGGAGUGGUAAUUUCCAGGCUUGGCUGGCUGGCGGCCGUCUCCCAAAAACCGCUGUGGGAAAAGAUUUCAUGUUCACAAGGCUGUGCAGCUUGGAAACAUGGACCUGUUCCUACAUGUGUAUCCAUAGGAACUGCGUCUGAACCCGUGUUGUUGCUGCACACGUGGUGGUCUGGCAGAUGUACAGGAUGUGAACAGGUUUACGUGGGAGCAGGGGAACUGGCUUUUUCAGUUAUGGCCCUCUGUUAACAGGCAAAUGGCUCUCCGUUCAACUGCAGUUAGGAACUGGGGUGGAGUUUUGCAAGUCUAAAUUGGUUUUACUCUCCACCCUUUGUUUUUGCACCCCAAUAUAGGAGAGUGUGAGAGGGAAAUGAGCGGCACUGCUUCAGUAAGAAUCCCUCUUGGCUGCUCUCAGGCUCCUGUUUUGCACUUCCAGUGCUGUUUAAGCCUUUUCUCGAUUAUCUUUUUUUUUUUUUUUUUCCCCCUUCCAUUUUCAGACAGCCUUGUGUUCCCCUGCUCACGGACUAGCCGAGGGUUGUGCCUUUAAUAUAAACCAGCUGUCGGCUGUGAAAUGAGUGGAGAACUUAAGAAUUCAGUAAACAUUGCGGAGGGAGCGUGCUUGCACCACAGCAGUAUUCUCAGUGCCAAGCUCGGCUAAAAUCUCGCGUGGGUGACUUCAGCUUUGAUAAGCGUCAGCAGCACUGCUGCGGAGCUCUGGAGGAAGCCUGUUCGGGGAAUUUAAACGAAAAGAUUUAUCCUGGAAAGGCUGUGGUGCAAACAAAGCUGCUGUUGCACAAGAUGCGUUGAGAGCAAGUCAACAAGCUCAAAACCCCAGUCCCCAGGCCAGCUUUUCUGUCCCAACAGUCGAUUGUUCAAUUGCCUAGGGUAUAAUUACUCAUUGUUUGCUUCGUGCUUAAAAUAACAGAAGCCUCUGCUCCUUUCCUCUUAAAACACAGCUUUCAGGUGAGUGCUGUCACGCACAAUUAACGCGAAUGCCUAAUGCCCUUCCAGCUAAGUAUUGAAAAGUAGCGUGGCUGUUGUUCAGUGGGUCAGUGUGCACUUUAAAUAAAUCACUGCUCUGAGAGGAGAACGCAAGGCAUGGGUGCUCGAGGUGGGGAGGAAAGUGAGGUGUAGCUCCUGUGCCCCCAUCCCGUGGGGUGUGGAAGUGCCUGGGGAGCCUUUCCCCACCUGGCUUCAUUUGCUCAGCUCUUUGUAGAAGUGUUUCAGUGCCCAAGGCCCGUACGUUGCCUGCGGGCAGCUCUGCUAUUUCUGGGCAUUUGCGCCAUGCCCUCGUGUACCUUUCCCUGCCUUUGUGGGCUUCCUUUUCUCACUGCUGCUCCCCGAGACCCUGCCUGACCCUCCGUGGCGUUUCAUUGCUGUCAGCUGAUGGGCAGCGCCUUCCCCUUCACCUUACCUUCCCUGCUGCCACCUCAGUUCCCCUUCUUGCUGCAGCACGGUCUUGAUUCCUGCAGUUCCUCCCUGAGGUCAUUCCCUAUUCUGAAAAUUGAAGCUGGUUUUUGAGGUCUUGAUAUCGGGAGCUUGCCCCUUCCAAAUAAAAACCCCAUUCAUUGAGGUGCUCUCCUUUAUUUAGAGAGCCAGAUGUUGACUGGCAAGAUGAUGUCCUUCUUGGGGAUGGUUGCUUUAAGUUAGUGCCUUCUCACUUGCUCGUGGUCAGAAGGAGGUGCAGAAGCGGUCUGAGAGCCUGUGCUGUGAGAGGGGAGCUAGGCAAUGAGGCGGUGGGCUGGAGGAAUUUGUGAGCUUCAAGUUUCAAACCUCAUCUGUGCUCAGAUAGUUGGAGCAACGCUGCCUGAAGCCCUUACCCCAGCCCAAAGGAGAUGUCCUGCGUCCAACAGCUUGCUUUGGGGCUAAAAUGGGUAGGAAAGCCUCAAGGAAGAGCUUGGGAGUAGACAGUUUGCUGUGGGAAGUGGGGAAAAAAACAGCACAGAGCCUGUCAAAUGGACUUACCUGCUUUAAUUGUGUUGUGGUUUUGUUCUUAUUAAAAAUAUGAUAGAAAUUCAGUAAGGUAACGCAAAGUCUCUAGGCAUUUGAUUGCUGUUGUUAAUGUAAAACAAGGGGUGGGAUGCUGGAAGUGCUCGUGAGCAUCUAGCCAAAAUAUGCUGCUUGUCAGCAAACACGACCACAAUUUCCCUGGAGCUGUGCGUGCAGCUAUCACUCUGUGAUGCUGCCACGAACAGAGAAAUAAACUGCUGCUUACGACAGCUGUUUGCUGCCCUACAGAAAUAGCAAAAAAAUAAAAAAAGGGGGUGGGGAGAAGAAAGCUUUUUUGUUUUUUGCUAUAAUAUCAACAAAGAAAAGAAUAAACUUCAAUGGCUGGCAGUAUUUUUCUCUGCUUGGAACCCCUCGAAUUUCCUGCUACUAUAAAAAGUUUUGUGGGUGUGCUUCCAGCUCCUGGGCGAUGCAGGUCUGACAAGCUUUUCCCUCUGCCAGGACGCCUUCGCCUUCCAUCGCUGCUGGUGAUGGGUGUUCAACAAAUCCCUGCCGCGUAUUCCGAGGCGCUAGAGGUGGAGCUUGCAUAUUUGAAACCGUUCUCGGAAAGCAUGGCUUGCCUUUCUCUUCUGUCUUUUAAUGAAAACCUUUAGGGUUUAAAUGAGUUGGCUUUCCACUGCCUUAUUACUCCCAUUACUCCCCUUGCUCUGUGUCUAAUUAAAAGAGGAACAGCAGGGCAGAGUUCACGAUGCCCCGUGCAGGUGGCUGGUCCUGGGCUGAGCCUUGGCGGGCAGAGGCUCAGAUGCCUUGUUCCAUCCUAGCUUUCUAAGGUCGAUAUUUAGAAAGCGUUUUGUUUGCCACUGUCUUACACUUUCUCAUAGGUGCAAAUACAAGCAGUUCAGCCAGAUUCAGAGGUUCAGUUUUUGCUAUCUCUGCCUACCAGGUAAAGCUUUAUUCAGCUUUUAAAGCACCCAGGCACGCUCAGCUUUUCCUAGGAAGGCUCGCUGUUGGGUGAGAGGCUUUAUUGGUUUUGUUUACAGACGGUUUCAUACCUGAAUUAUGGAGGCUGUCAGAGAACAAAUAGGUGCCCAACCUCCCUAGCUCAUUUUAAUAGCUGAAAUCUCAAGUUGCCUUUUGCGACGUUGGUAACAGUCAGUAAAUCCCGUCCUGCCCUUGGCAGGCGCAUGGCAUGUGUCAAUAACAAUUUAUUCUCUGGUUGAAAACACCACAAUGUUAGCCAGUGGAUUGUAAAAAAAAAAAAAAAAAAAAAAAAAAAAAAAAAAAUAUAUAUAUUUUUUUUUUUUGCUGUGUUUCAGUAGCCUUGCUCUGGAAGAGGGAGCCUAUGGUUAAACAAUGAAUGGGAGUGGAGUGGUGUUCGAGUGCUUGACAAAUCCUCGAGUGCUUUACCCUUGUAAAAAUGUGCUCGGCACAGCUCUUUGCAAUGUAGUGCCUUCGGUCUGUUUUCAGGAGGUUGCGGUCUUCCAGACUCCUUGUGUCCGUAGAGAGGUGCGCUGAAGUGGUGAUACCGUCCGGCAGGCUUGUUUCUGAGAGAGGUUCGAGUGUUUCUUCAGAGAGAGAUAAAGUGCAAGAUUAUUAAGAAGGUGGUUUGUUUUUCUUUUGUUAAGAAGUGGCAAAGGCAUCUGGUAGAUUCAAUUUUCUUUUUUGUUUUCCACACCUUGAGCAAAGAUUUUUAGGAAUUGGUUGAAGCUGCACAUACCAGGACAGUUUAUGUCUGAUUUUUUUUAUUGCUUUAUUUUAUGGAACACACUUGGAAAAAACAUGAAUGCUAUUUUAAAUUCGUCUUGUUUCCAGGAUUAUGGUUUUGGUUAUAGUUCUUUUUUUAUUAUUUUAUUUAGAUGAUUGCUUCAUCUCUGGUAUAGCAAGAUGAGU